rnacentral:lncRNA from 1 species
GGAGGGGCUUGGCUAUUAUGUGCUUGAAAAGCGUAUUUUGCGGGACUUGGUAAGAGAGUGUGAUUGGUCUGUCAGGAAAUCCAAACUUGGAUAGCGCAACCCCAUACACCCACCCCAUUUCAGUUCGAAAGUAAAUUGUGUUGGUAGUUUGUUUUUUGUUGUGAUUUAUUAAUAUUUUUUAUAUAAUCAUCUUAUUCAUUUGUUGAUUGUUACUUUAUAAUAAUUGAGUGAUGAGUAUUUUAAAAUUCUGGACUGAAGGAUUACUUCCUAUUUUAUGAGUGUCAAUAGUCAAUUUAUCUCUUUUAUUGCUAUCCAAGCAAACAAUGCACUUAACGAGCUUUUUUUAGGGUCUCUUAACUUUACCUCUAAAAAACUACCAAGAUUAAGGCAUUUCUAUUCAGCGUCUCUGGCAUAGAUUUUCAAAUGAGUCUUUACUGUUAUAUUGCAACUACUAGAAAAAUGUAACUGGAUUAGAAACUUCUUCCCAUAAAAUAUAGAAUUAUUGUGUCUUCUUAAAGAAAUUGUCCAUCUUGUAAUCUAGUGCUCUGAGAUUCAUGUCUAGAAAUUAUGUAGUUCCAUAAGUCUAUCAUUUAUUAGAAGUAUGACCAUUUAAUAUGUAUAUCAUUACUUUGUCAUCACAUAGGUGUGUGGUUGGGGGAUCCUUUUACUUGACCUCAAUCUUUAGAAAUAUUAAGAAUUUAACAAUAUCUUACAAAAUUGAGUACCAACUUGAUGUUAUAGUAGUUUUUAUACAAAGAUAGCUAAAUAAAAGGCUUUUAAAUUGGUUAUUGGUCAUUUUAGAGGUAUCAGUUCGUGAUUUGGUUUUAAAUUGUUCAUGUUUGUAAAAUUCCUGCAAUUUGUUAGAUUUUGUUUUUGUCGUUGCAAUUUGUAGAAUGAUUUCCUCGAAGCACAACAUGUUUUGACAGUACAUUUGUAAACCUUCUACAUUUCAACUCGAUUUAGGAGUUCAUGUUGUUUGUCUACUAUAUAAUAUAUUGAGUGAUGAGUAUUUUAAAAUUCUGGACUGACGGUUUUUUUUUUUUUUUUAUGAGUGUCAAUAGUCAAAUUUAUCUCUUGUAUUGCUAUCCAAGGAAACAAUGCACUUAACAAGCUUUUGUUCUAGGGUUCCUUAACUUUCGUUCUAAAAAACUACCUAGAUUAGGGAAUUUCUAUGUAGCGUCUCAAGCAUAGAUUUUCAAAUGAGCCUUUACAACAUAUAUUGCAACUUAUAGAAAAAUGCCACUGGAUCAGAAACUUCUUCCCAUGUCUUCUGAAAGAAAUUGUCCAUCUUGUAAUCUAGUGCUCUGAGAUUAAUGUCUAGAAAUUAUGGUAGUUCCAUAAGCCUGUCAUUUAUUAUAAGUAUGACCAUUUAACACGUAUAUCAUCACUUUGUCAUCAUAUACGUGUUUGGAGGUGGGGGGGGGAGAUCCUUUUACUUGACUCUCAAUCUUUAGAAAAACAAAGAAUUUAACAAUAUCUUACAAAAUCGAGUACCAACUUCAUGUGAGAGUAUGUUUUAUAUUAAGAUAACUAAAUAAAAGUGCUUUUGAAAUGGUGAUUGCUCAUCUCUAGAAGUAUUAGUUGGGUGAUUUGGUUUUAAAUUGUUCAUGUUUGUAAAAUUCCUGCAAUUUUUUAGAUUUUAUAGCUUUUGUUUUUGUCGGUUGCAAUUUGUGGAAUGAUUUUCUUGAAGCACAUGUUUUGACAAUACAUUUCCAAUCCUUCUUCAUUUCAACUCUAUUUAGGAGUUCACAUCUUCACGUGCAAAGUCACUGCACUAGUGCAUGAUCUUCAUAAAUCUUGUCAAGAGGCCUGUAAUAAUCACGAUCUCCGCUGCUAGUUAGAAAAGGUAUAGUUAUGCCAUUACUUUAUGGAUUUUGGGUAUCCACUAUGGCUAAUAAUAAUUUAUUUUAUCUGCAGUUUUAGAGCAUUUCUGUAUUUGUUUGGCUCAAAUUUUUGGUUUGGUUUAAUCUAUUGUUUUUUUUGUUCGUGGUGGUGUUCUCCUUUCAGGAAUAUCAUGUAUCGGGUAUCCCAUUGGUAAUAUUGUUUUUGUUUGCUUACCAUGUUCCAAGUUUCAGGGUUCACUUGGAUUGGGGUAAUGGCAGUUGGGUUUCUUCGAAGAAGAUGGUUUCAUGAUUAUCUUAUAUUUUCUUUUCUCGACAAGGAAAUAUUAUCAUUAAUAUCUUAUGUUUUGUAGGUUAACUUGUUGAAUUGUUGCAUUCAUUAGGGAAAAGAGGGAGGGGCUUGGCUAUUAUGUGCAUGAAAAGCGUAUGUUGCGGGACUGGUAAGAGAGUGUGCUUGGUCUGUAAGGAUUUCCUUAUCCAAAACUUGGAUAGCGCAAC